CCCUUAGACGUUCUGGGCCGCACGCGCGCUACACUGACCAGUGCAACAAGCAUCCGUCCUUGGCCGACAGGCCCGGGCAAUCUUUGAACGCUGGUCGUGAUGGGGAUAGACUUUUGCAAUUUUUGGUCUUCAACGAGGAAUUCCUAGUAAACGCAAGUCAUCAACUUGCAUUGAUUACGUCCCUGCCCUUUGUACACACCGCCCGUCGCACCUACCGAUUGAACGGUCCGGUGAAGCCUCCGGAUUGGCGCGCACCUCGGUGCCGCCGAGAAGUUGGCUAAACCUUACCAUUUAGAGGAAGGUGAAGUCGUAACA
rnacentral:rRNA from 1 species